GAUAAUACAAUUAGAAGAGCAAUUGAUUUUAAGAUCCAAGGGGAACAUGUCGAGGCUUCUCAUGGUAGUCCACACAGCAGUAGUGCUGCUGUUAUUACCUGUUAACUUCAGCGAUGCUGCACAACAAACUACUCAGAAAAAAAGUGUUGGAGUCGAUAAAAGAUCAGUUUUACCCUCAUCCAGACAUCGCUUGAUAGGCUGAUGGAUUUAGUUAUCCAUUCAGUCACCAGCCCGUCUAGUGAGGCAACUUACUGCAGCUGUAGGAAAUGUCACAGCUACGACAGACACACUGUCAUCAAUUACUGCAGCUACAGGAAAUGCCACAGCUACAACAGACGCACAGACAUCAACCACCACGCCAUCUACAACACAGACAUCAACCACCACACCAUCUACAACACAGACAUCAACCACAACACCAUCUACAACACAGACAUCAACCAGCACAUCAUCUACAACACAGACAUCAACCACCACAUCAUCUACAACACAGACAUCAACCACCACACCAUCUACAACACAGACAUCAACCACCACACCAUCUACAACACAGACAUCACACCACACAAC